UGAGGUGUGGGUACUGACGAGUGGUGUGUGGGUAUUAACAUGUGUGUGUGUGUGUGUGUGUGUGUAGGUGUGAAUACUGAACUGUUGGUUGUGGUGCGGGAGAGGAUGCGGGUAGUACAGUGGGUGCGGAUGGUAGCAGUACUAUGUGUAGCGUCGAUGGUGUUGGUCUCUUGUUGUUGGCGUCUCCUUACUCACAACUACUCCCAACAACUCUACCACAACCACAACCUGACCGAGAUAGACUACAACCAUCAGGAUUAUUAUAACAGUGACCAUGUAGACGACAAACGCACUCACACACAACAUAACGUCAGGGGACAAGGUGACAGGGAUACCAUUAGUGACUCUACCUCGACGUAUUAUCAGAGGAAGUUUGUUUACAUCAACAGACAAGACGGGAGUAAGAAGGUACACGUAUAUAAUCAACACAGCCAGAUACAUGAUAAAGACACCUAUUCAUAUGACAAAAACAGCGAGGUAUAUAACACAAAAGAACAAAAACAUGACAAAAACAACCAGAUUUAUGUCACAAAAAGACUUAUUCAUGACCAAAACAGCUUCACUAUUGACACAAGCCACCAGGUAGAUGACACUUAUGACCAGACAGAUACAGAGUUUGUGCAGGGAGAUGCUGGUGACGAGGACGAUAGCGAGGAGGAGGAACAAGGGGAGAAGUCACCUCGAGUCAUCCUGCUGUUGGGUAGUUGGCGCAGUGGGUCGACCUUCUUGGGGGAACUCCUGGCCACGGCCGUCCAGGACACCUUCUACAGCUACGAGCCUCUACACCCGUGGAAGAUAAAGGUGUUGUAUGAUGAUGACAACACCACGCAGGCCGCCGUCACCUUCCUCAAGGAUCUGUUCCACUGCCGCCUUGAACAACAUGAGCAGCAGGUCUCCUACAUGGCCAGCCAGCACUGGUACCUGCGCUCGAACACUCGCCUCGCCUCCCACUGUCACUACCAGCAGGGGGACAAGCCAGAACAGCAGCAGCAGCAGGGGGACAAACCAAAGCAGGAGGAACAUCAGCAGAAGCAACAGGGAGAACAUCAAGAGAGGCAGCAGCAAGAAGAGACCUCCUCUUCCUCCUCUUGCUUCAAUGCCUCCUUCGUCAGCCAAUUGUGUCGCAGCUCCCGCCUCCACGUAGCCAAGGUGUUGAGACUCGGCCUGCAGUGGGUGGUGCCGUUACUUGAGGAGAAGCUGGACCUACAAGUGGUUUACCUGGUGCGUGACCCCCGAGCUGUCCUCAGUUCCCGGGAGCGAGUGUCGUGGUGCAGCUCCCCGACCUGCAGGGAUCCAGCCUAUAUGUGUCCUCACCUCUACCACGACCUUCUCCUACUACCCCAACUCCGCCACCUGUACCCUGACAGAUUCAAGAUGGUGCUGUACGAGUCACUCCUUAAGGACAUCAAUGCUUCACUGAGGGAACUGUACUCCUUUCUGCGUCUCCCUCUGCCUGAGAAGCGACUGCUCUUGCUGACAGCCUCCAGCCAGGGGUCCCCCCUCAAGAGGUUAGACCAGGUGUCCAGUCACGCCCGGGGGACCUACGGCACCACCAGGAUGCUCGACAGCCAGGCAUAUUUGUGGCGCUUCUGGACUCCCUACAAGAAGAUGGUGACGUACCAGACCCACUGCAGCAGAGUGAUCAGGUUCCUGCGGCUCAGGCUGUUUACCUCCUCCACCCAGUACCACAGCAUUUCCCGCUACCCCGUCCUCCUCCCACGCCCACCCCAACACGCCCUCACUUCCUGAAGACGUCCAUGUCUCCUGAUGCCAUGUCCACCUCCACGUCUCAGCAUUACAUCACACGUGACUACUCCACUCAUCAACCCACGUGUGACCAUGUCCACAUCUCCACUGCCUAAAGCCGCCCACAACUCGCCCACCCUUACAUGACUACGCCUGCACCUAGCUCCCCGCCAUUGCCUUAGUACGCUCAUUCCACAGAGAUAGCCACGCCCACAUCACAUAUUCAGGUGCCAGAUGAUGUGAUAGCGUGUGACUGUUGUGUUGAGGGUCACAAGUUUCUUAUGAUGUCAUCGCUGUGAUCAGUAUAGGAGCGGUGCUGUGCCUCUGUGAACUGUACAAGUAACUCAGGGUAUAGUGAUCAAGGCUUAGACUACACAUUAGGAUUGUUGCUCACGAUAAUAUACGGAUCUCAUGAAGAUUAGAAACCUCAACUUAUUUCACCAGAUGACUAAACACCCACAUAAUAACCUAACCUAACCUGACCCCACCGCACCCCAUCCCCUUUAGCGUUAGGGUGUUUAUCAAUCAUCAGGAGAUAAUAAACGGAGGUUCCAAAUCGUCAUGUGAUCCUUUGAGUAAGUUGUUUUUAAUAAUAUAAAUCUUAUACAGUAGAAAUGACUAAGGUCGACUGGUUCAUUUCUCCCCUUGAUUUUUGCUCCAGUUUUGCUGUUAUUGCCUCUGCCUGUAUAAGACUGUCCGGAUCAAAGUACCUCCAUCCAUUUAUUAAGCUGACUCGCCACAUGGGUGACUACUGACUAGUGAACCACUUAUACACUUUUUGCCACCUAUUAACUGAACUGUGAAGAUGUAGGAGCGUAUACUGUCCACCCUGUGUAAGGUCAUCUCCCUGACCUGAUAUAUUGAUGUAGACUUUACAAUAAUGCACAUGGGUUGAAAUGAUUCCCCGCUUCCUGUACUGCCAUAAUUAUGUGGAUCAUAACAUUAUUUAUAUCUUCUACAGUUCCUGCUUAAUUAUCUCUUCCUUAUUAUACUCAUGUUAUAAAUGAACGAAAUACGAAAUGAAGUUUUACAUUUAAUAACUUUAACUAUGUAAACAACUGGAUUGACUUCUUAGUAAAACGGAUGAAAAUGCAA
rnacentral:misc_RNA from 1 species